AAUCCAGACAGCUAGCUAGACUAUCUGUCCAAUCUGAGGACUAUGGUUACCUGUCCUCAGAUCUCUGCAGGGUAAAUCCAGACAGCUAGCUAGACUAUCUGUCCAUCUGAGGACUAUGGUUACCUGGUCCUCAGAUCUCUGUAGGGUAAAUCCAGACAGCUAGCUAGACUAUCUGUCUAAUCUGAGUUUUCUGUUGCACGACUAAAACUACGGUCCGCCAAAACAAGUUCCUUCUUGAGGCUUUUAGCAGCGGCAAUGCGGAUCUCCUCUUCCGGGGUACGUUUUGGAGGAAGGUCUGGCAGAGAGAGACGAUGCCGGAGCAAGCACAGCCCGCUCUGCGGCUUGUUUGAAUUGAGUUGACCAGUCACAACAGAGUGGGCCAGCUGACCAAUCAGAGCAGACUGGGCUUUUCAGGAAGGCGGGCCUUGAGCUCAGGCCGAGCGUUUCAGGCAGAGGAGCUGAAGCAAUGGGCAGUACAAGAACCAUGUUUCAGGAGAAUAGUAGGGGCUCUUUAAAAUAGUGUGGUGCUCCUCCAUAAUCGAGGGAAACAAUACAAAUUAAUAUAGGAGAUAUAUUUGGAAAAGAGGUUCACAACCGCCAAAGUCCUUAAUGGAUGUUACUAUGAGCCCAACACUGUUUUCUUCUUAUUUUCUUUUUAUAUCCGUGGGGACAUUGGCCAGGUCUUUGUCCCCUGGACAGAGAGGUAGUGGAGCUGCAGAUUGGUGCACAGGUACUCUAAAUGAUGUCACUGGGAUUUGCCCAAAAUUAAAGUCACAUUGCUAGCUACUGAAAAGCAUUGAGGACACUUAAACUGCCACAUAACUAUUUGCAGUAAUAACAGCUUUGAAUAGUGUUGUAGUAAUGACCAUAAUUUUAAAAAAAAAACAGUAACCGUUUAUCUUCAACAUCAGCUGAUAAGCCAUAUCAAACACUGGCAGGGUACUUUUCUCUGCACUGGCCUUCUCCCCAGAUCUUAGCACUAACAUUGUUUCAGUAUUGACAGAAAACUGGCAGUGUUAUGUCACAUCGUGUUGGGAAGUCUAAUCAAUACAGAUGUUUCAGUGCUGUCUGAAACUGGGCCCAGAAGGGCAGCAUCAUUCAAAAACACCUUAGUUCGGGUGAGCCGCUGGGUGAGGAUUGAUGAAAUGUCAGCUGAUAGAGGGUUUUUUCCCCCCAAAUGAUCACAAUGUGUGCUAUAAAACACCUCCCCACACACAUGACUUUGAAAGGGAGCUCCUAAAACAUAACUUGUACUAAUCUGUGUGGACAGACUAAUCUGUUGGAGUCGUCCCAAACAUGUUGUGAACGCACUACAGAUUAGAGAUAACACUGUUCUCCACACGCCAUAUUCCUAUCUCUGAAAUUGGAUGAUAAAGGCUAAUGUCCCUUUUGUGCUGAACACAGUUUAAAAAACCAAAAACCAAAGGUCUGUUUCAGAAGCUCAAGAAAGAGCUGAUGGCAGUGUGUGGAGAAAGCGUUUCAACCAAUUAAAGAUGCACAUUUCUUUACAGUUGACAUGCUAGAGGAUGCUGAACGAGAAUACGGGCACUAAACCGGGUCAUGGGGAUCUAUUUCUUUAGGCUAUACAUUAAAGAUGUUGCCAUAAUGUUGAUGUCAGGCUUUACUGUGCAUUUUAAGUGUGAUGUCAUCAAGUCAGUUUCAUUUCUCUGUUUUUUUUACAAAUUGUGGGAUCACCUUUGUUUACAAAUUCACAAGAGGUUCAGUUUGUGUAACUCUGGCAAAGAUAUGUCUCGUGGUUGCCU